GGCUUGUGACGAUUAUAUUUGCUACUCUUGAUAACAGAUGAUGAGACAGAUUACCACCAAGAUUUCGUCUGAAGCA